GAUCAUGGCUCAGGAUGAACGCUAGCGGCAAGGCUUAACACAUGCAAGUCGAGGGGCAGCAUGAACCGACCUUCGGGAAGGUUUGAUGGCGACCGGCGCAAGGGUGCGUAACGCGUGAGCAACUUGCCCGUUUCUGGGGAAUAACCGGUGGAAACGCCGACUAAUACCCCAUAGCAUCAACUUAGGGCAUCCUUAGUUGAUUAAAGAAAUUCGGAAACGGAUAGGCUCGCGUGACAUUAGCUAGAUGGCGGGGUAACGGCCCACCAUGGCGACGAUGUCUAGGGGUUCUGAGAGGAAGGUCCCCCACACUGGAACUGAGACACGGUCCAGACUCCUACGGGAGGCAGCAGUGAGGAAUAUUGGUCAAUGGUCGAGAGACUGAACCAGCCAUGCCGCGUGAAGGUCACGGCCCUAUGGGUCUUAAACUUCUUUUGUAAGGGAGCAAUAAGUCUCACGUGUGGGAUGAUGAGAGUACCUUACGAAUAAGCAUCGGCUAACUCCGUG
rnacentral:rRNA from 1 species